UACGUAGGGUGCAAGCGUUGUCCGGAAUUAUUGGGCGUAAAGGGCUCGUAGGCGGUCCGUCACGUCGGGAGUGAAAACUCAGGGCUUAACCCUGAGCCUGCUUCCGAUACGGGCAGACUAGAGGUAUGCAGGGGAGAACGGAAUUCCUGGUGUAGCGGUGAAAUGCGCAGAUAUCAGGAGGAACACCGGUGGCGAAGGCGGUUCUCUGGGCCGAUACUGACGCUGAGGAGCGAAAGCGUGGGGAGCAAACGGG
rnacentral:rRNA from 1 species